rnacentral:lncRNA from 1 species
GUGUCAGACAAGGGAAGCUGCUGUAUUGCAGAAUAAAUACAAGUCUGAGUAGGAAGAAGUUUCUUUGUUGUUUUCAUCUUAAAUACAGGGAAAGAAGAAAGACUCCAAAUUCCUAACAAUACUACUCUUGUAUAACCUGUGGGAAGAAUUCUGCCGAUGGAAGAAGCAGCAUAAUUGCAUCCUGACACCCAACCACAUCCUUGCUCUGAGUAUCUUAAUCAUUGUGGCCUAGAAGAAUGUGUACAGUUUUCUGUUAUUCUCCAGGAAGUCAGUCUCAUGGAAAUCAUAACUUGAGUGUCACCUACCCUGAUGUUCAUGAUGUACCACAGAACUUGGCCUUGUGCAAGACCAUGAUGCAUGAUGGGAAAUAUCUAACCAGGGUCUCUUUGUCAUAAGAGAUGAUGGGAGAACUUUUAAUCUAUUGAGGACAGAGGUAUAUCAGAUCUCAAUCUUAAUUUUAUUGCAAGCUUAUACCCAUAAAACUUGGGUCAAGUUUAGAAUUAUGUUUUUGCUUGCAUGCCCCUGUACUUAAAGAACUCUGCAUUUGCUUUGAGCUUGCUAUAAUGUAGACAGGUGUGAUUGUCUCCUUUAUAAUCAGAGGUCUCAAUGUGUAUAUAUACUAAAAUGUAUACAAAACUUCUAAAAGCAAUGAAACUCAUAACUUUAAAAUGUUCACUGUUCAACCUACAUCUUCAGUGUUGUCAGUUGUCAUCAUUUUAUUGCAAAAUUGGAGAUUUUGUGGCAUUAUUGCAGUGAGUGCUCCUGAAACCAU